GACGAACGCUGGCGGCGUGCUUAACACAUGCAAGUGGAGCGACGAACCGGGGCUUGCCCCGGGGCAGAGCCGCGAACGGGUGAGUAACACGUGGGUAACCCACCUCGAUGACCGGGACAACCCGAGGAAACUCGGGCUAAUACCGGAUGUGAUCCUCUUUCGUAAGGAAGAGAAUGAAAGAUAGCUUCGGCCUUCGCAUCGAGACGGGCCCGCGGCCCAUUAGCUUGUUGGUGGGGUAACGGCCUACCAAGGCNGCGAUGGGUAGCUGGUCUGAGAGGACAAUCAGCCACACUGGGACUGAGACACGGCCCAGACUCCUACGGGAGGCAGCAGUGGGGAAUCUUGCACAAUGCGCGAAAGCGUGAUGCAGCAACGCCGCGUGGGGAAGACGGCCU
rnacentral:rRNA from 1 species